rnacentral:lncRNA from 1 species
CAUCAACAUGGCACUGCAAAGCAAGUUUUCAUAAGGCACUUCAUAUGACAUUUUAGUAGGGGGGUCGGUUCUUAUAAUGGCUCUGACAAACACGUAUCUGAUUUGAGGGGGAGAAGUCCUCCCUCCUCUUCAACAGCUUCUUAGCAUUUCUGCUUUGUCUUCGUCGAGUAUAAAGGGAGAACAGAAGUCUUUGUUCUUCAUGUACGCCUCCAGACCCUCUCCAAAGUAAGAUACUAAUGGAGAAAUCUCACACACAGCCGGAGGAUCUUCGGUUCCUGAAAGACUGAGCUUCUCUGGUAUCCUGCAGCCAUCUUCAUCCAGAAAUCUGGCCCCAGCCUUGAGAGCCCAGCGGUAGUGCUGGGCCAGGAGGGACUGCCGAGCAGUGGUAGGGUUGUCUGUCUCAGCUGUGUCUGCAUUUUUCAAUGGCGAGAAUUCCUCUUCUCUCAAAACUUCAAAUGCCACAAAAUUCUUAGAGAACUGGAACACAUCAAACACAAACUUCUCCAGCUUUAUUCCAUUCGGUUUUAGUGGUUUUACCAGAUUUCCCUCCUCAUCAAUGUAAGGCACCUUCUUUAUGGCCACGUGGUGCUUCAGCUGGGACUCGUGUUUUUGGGCCACUGUCUGCAGAAACUCAACAGUGAAGAAAUGGUUGCAGAUAUUGCCAACGCUGUACAUCAGCCCCCCAUCAGGUCUUCGCUGCUGCGCAGUCUCUGGGCUGAUCUCACUGUACUCCACCACCACAUGAGAGACCCCAUCC